AGCGAACGCUGGCGGCAGGCCUAACACAUGCAAGUCGAACGAACUCUCCGGAGUUAGUGGCGGACGGGUGAGUAACACGUGGGAACGUGCCUUUAGGUUCGGAAUAACUCAGGGAAACUUGUGCUAAUACCGAAUGUGCCCUUCGGGGGAAAGAUUUAUCGCCUUUAGAGCGGCCCGCGUCUGAUUAGCUAGUUGGUGAGGUAAAGGCUCACCAAGGCUACGAUCAGUAGCUGGUCUGAGAGGAUGACCAGCCACAGUGGGACUGAGACACGGCCCAAACUCCGACGAGAGGCAGCAGUGGGGAAUCGUGCGCAGUGGGAGAAAGCCUGACGCAGCCAUGCCGCGUGGAUGAUGAAGGUCUUAGGAUUGUAAAAUCCUUUCACCGGUGAAGAUAAUGACUGUAGCCGGAGAAGAAGCCCCGGCUAACUUCGUGCCAGCAGCCGCAGUAACAC
rnacentral:rRNA from 1 species